rnacentral:rRNA from 1 species
GACGUAGGGCGCAAGCGUUGUCCGGAUUUAUUGGGCGUAAAGAGCUCGUAGGCGGUUUGUCGCGUCUGCUGUGAAAACCCGAGGCUCAACCUCGGGCCUGCAGUGGGUACGGGCAGACUAGAGUGCGGUAGGGGAGAUUGGAAUUCCUGGUGUAGCGGUGGAAUGCGCAGAUAUCAGGAGGAACACCAAUGGCGAAGGCAGAUCUCUGGGCCGUAACUGACGCUGAGGAGCGAAAGCGUGGGGAGCGAACAGG